GAGGAGAUUUCCCACAUCAAGUUGAAAAGGGUUCUGGUUCUUCGUCUCCAUCUUCAGCUGGCGUUGGUAUGUAGUGCUUGCUGCUAAGCAAGGCUAUUAGUUCGGCUUGUUAAAACCUAAUACAGAAACACUCACAAAAAUUCCAAGAAUGAAAAUCCUAGCAAUCAUGGAGCGAGAGAGAGAAUUUCAUACAAAAUCAGUUUAAAAGAUGUCUGAAAUAGCACA
rnacentral:lncRNA from 1 species